GGUAGUGUGGCCGAGCAGUUUAAGGCACUGGAUUAAGGCUCUAGUCCCUUCCGGGGCAUGGGUUCGAAUCCCACAGCUGCCA
rnacentral:tRNA from 1 species